GUGCACAAGAGGACGCCCAAGGGGUGCCACGGGCUCAGGGAGGGUGCGCCAGAGGCGUAGUGUGGGUUCAUCCUCCUGCUGGGCAGGAGGUGCGAGGGGUGCAGGAGAGGCGCUGUGCAGGUGAAAGGGGAUGCACAAGAGUCCCCAAGAGGUUCCACGUGGACUGGGGGGAUUCGGGAAGGGUGCACAAGAGGGGAGGGUGCAGGAGUGGUUGGUGUGGAGCAAGGGCAGAGCAGCUGAGGUGGCGCAUGGGUGGAGGAGGGGCAACUUGUGACCUUCUCUGGUGGCUUCCCCUUUGACUUUCUGCAGAAGUCAGCUAGGAAGAUUGCAGGUGGCGAUCCUGUGAUGGUGGGGUGCUUGAGAACCGGUUGCAAAUGCACACAGGUUGCCAAGCAUCUCGGUGAGGAUCAGGCGACCAUGGGGUGCUGGGGCGGCCAGAACCCCAAGAACCAUUUGCAGCCACAAUGGUGGGGACUUCCUGCAUGCAGAGUUUGUCCUUUGACUGGUCAUGUGCCAUGAAAGCUGUUUUUAGAUUGUCUCCGUGAUUAGGCCUAACCCGACUUCCUGCUCUCCCGGCGAUUCCCUGGGCCCCGUGACGGAGUCCGUUGCCUUCCAAGGUGCCCAGGGUGGCAGCCGUCUCUCCCCCAGGAGGGUGCCUCCGAUUGGCUGCCAGGAGGGGACCGAAAGUGGCCAGGGGGGACUCUCACUGCCUUGCCUUCCUCUUUGGACUCAGGAGGUGGAAGAAAGCGAGGAGGAGAGGCUGGGGAAGCACAGCUUGGAAGACCUCCAGAAGGUCCAAAGCGAUCCUGCGCCUCGGAGAAACCAAUGUAAUGCUGAGAACGAGGAUUGCUGAGCGCUUCUACUUCCCCUUCAUCUUCCCCCGCUACCUCAUGAAAGGCUUCGUCCCCUUUGUGAAGCUGCCUCUACCGAAGGUCACCUUGCAGCCGUUUCCAUCCCUUUCCAAGAGGCCGGCAGCGCCAAGGACUUUCACUGCCAGGCAGCAGCUGGUGCACAAGUACUUCAUCCCAAAGUUCUCCUACGCGGACAGCUACCCUUGAAGGCAGCGAGGCCCAGGAUGGAGCCGAGGGGCUUCCAUGGCAGCAACCGGACGGGUCCCGUGCUGAAGAGCCAGGUGGCACCAGCCUGGCACAUGUCCACGGGCUCCAAUCGACCAACCGGGUAGCAAUAAUCAGAGACUUCCAGAGGCAUUUCAUUUUAUUUACUUAAAGUGACAAGAACCCGAUUUAUGACACAUUUAUGAUAAGAUUUCCCGGCAAGGUGAGGGAGAAGCGCCAAUAAAGAGGAAAGCAGGCCAGUAGCGCUUUCACAGGGGGAAAAACUCUUUGGGCAGCUGUUCCGUGGGUGUCCUGCAGGGGGAGGGGGGGCUCGGGGGCGGUGAGA
rnacentral:lncRNA from 1 species